AAUCAACGCUGGCGGCGUGCCUAACACAUGCAAGUCGAACGCGAAAGCCCGCAAGGGUAAGUAGAGUGGCGCACGGGUGAGUAACACGUGGACAACCUGCCUUCGAGUGGGGAAUAACCUUCCGAAAGGAGGGCUAAUACCGCAUAACACCUCGGAGCACAAGUUCUGGGGUUGAAAAGAGCAAUUUGCUCGAAGAGGGGUCCGCGCCUGAUUAGCUAGUUGGUGAGGUAAAGGCUCACCAAGGCGACGAUCAGUAGCUGGUCUGAGAGGAUGAUCAGCCACAUUGGGACUGAGACACGGCCCAAACUCCUACGGGAGGCAGCAGUGGGGAAUCUUGCGCAAUGGGCGAAAGCCUGACGCAGCCAUGCCGCGUGAAUGAUGAAGGUCUUAGGAUUGUAAAAUUCUUUCACCGGGGACGAUAAUGACGGUACCCGGAGAAGAAGCCCCGGCUAACUUCGUGCCAGCCGCCGCGGUAAAAC
rnacentral:rRNA from 1 species